UACGUAGGGUGCGAGCGUUAAUCGGAAUUACUGGGCGUAAAGCGUGCGCAGGCGGUUUUGUAAGCCAGGUGUGAAAUCCCCCGGGCUCAACCUGGGAAUGGCAUUUGGGACUGCAAGGCUGGAGUGCGGCAGAGGAGACUGGAAUUCCUGGUGUAGCAGUGAAAUGCGUAGAUAUCAGGAGGAAUACCGAUGGCGAAGGCAGGUCUCUGGGCUGACACUGACGCUCAUGCACGAAAGCGUGGGGAGCAAACAAGG
rnacentral:rRNA from 1 species